GACGAACGCUGGCGGCGUGCUUAACACAUGCAAGUCGAACGGAAAGGCCCUGCUUUUGUGGGGUGCUCGAGUGGCGAACGGGUGAGUAACACGUGAGUAACCUGCCCUUGACUUUGGGAUAACUUCAGGAAACUGGGGCUAAUACCGGAUAGGAGCUCCUGCUGCAUGGUGGGGGUUGGAAAGUUUCGGCGGUUGGGGAUGGACUCGCGGCUUAUCAGCUUGUUGGUGGGGUAGUGGCUUACCAAGGCUUUGACGGGUAGCCGGCCUGAGAGGGUGACCGGCCACAUUGGGACUGAGAGACGGACCAGACUCCUACGGGAGGCAGCAGUGGGGAAUAUUGCACAAUGGGCGGAAGCCUGAUGCAGCAACGCCGCGUGCGGGAUGACGUCCUUCGGGUUGUAAACCGCUUUCGCCUGUGACGAAGCGUGAGUGACGGUAAUGGGUAAAGAAGCACCGGCUAACUACGUG
rnacentral:rRNA from 1 species